rnacentral:rRNA from 1 species
AUAUUGGAACGUACCGAGUAAUGGGGGAUAACUAUCCGAAAGGAUAGCUAAUACCGCAUACGCUUUGAGAAGGAAAGCAGGGGAUCUUCGGACCUUGCGUUAUUCGAGCGGCCAAUAACUGAUUAGCUAGUUGGUGGGGUAAGGGCCCACCAAGGCGACGAUCAGUAGUGGGUCUGAGAGGAUGAUCCGCCACACUGGGACUGAGACACGGCCCAGACUCCUACGGGAGGCAGCAGUGGGGAAUUUUGGACAAUGGGCGAAAGCCUGAUCCAGCCAUGCCGCGUGUCUGAAGAAGGCCUUCGGGUUGUAAAGGACUUUUGUUAGGGAAGAAAAGGUUGAUGCUAAUAUCAUUAACUGAUGACGGUACCUAAAGAAUAAGCACCGGCUAACUACGUGCCAGCAGCCGCGGUAAUACGUAGGGUGCGAGCGUUAAUCGGAAUUACUGGGCGUAAAGCGAGCGCAGACGGUUAGUUAAGCAAGAUGUGAAAUCCCCGAGCUCAACUUGGGAACUGCGUUUUGAACUGGCUAGCUAGAGUGUGUCAGAGGGGGGUAGAAUUCCACGUGUAGCAGUGAAAUGCGUAGAGAUGUGGAGGAAUACCGAUGGCGAAGGCAGCCCCCUGGGAUAACACUGACGUUCAUGCUCGAAAGCGUGGGUAGCAAACAGGAUUAGAUACCCUGGUAGUCCACGCCCUAAACGAUGUCAAUUAGCUGUUGGGCAACUUGAUUGCUUAGUAGCGUAGCUAACGCGUGAAAUUGACCGCCUGGGGAGUACGGUCGCAAGAUUAAAACUCAAAGGAAUUGACGGGGACCCGCACAAGCGGUGGAUGAUGUGGAUUAAUUCGAUGCAACGCGAAGAACCUUACCUGGUCUUGACACUGUCUCUUAUACACAUCU